rnacentral:siRNA from 1 species
GACGUACCACUCCUUGAUGUGCA